UACGGGGGGGGCAAGCGUUGUUCGGAAUUACUGGGCGUAAAGGGCUCGUAGGCGGCCAACUAAGUCAGACGUGAAAUCCCUCGGCUUAACCGGGGAACUGCAUCUGAUACUGGAUGGCUUGAGAUUGGGAGAGGGAUGCGGAAUUCCAGGUGUAGCGGUGAAAUGCGUAGAUAUCUGGAGGAACACCGGUGGCGAAGGCGGCAUCCUGGGACCAACACUGACGCUGAGGAGCGAAAGCCAGGGGAGCAAACGGG
rnacentral:rRNA from 1 species